rnacentral:ncRNA from 1 species
AUGAAUAUUGGGCAAACCUGCCGAAAGGCAGGGACGCAAAGCUACGGGUCUAACGACAAUGAAUUUUGCCUAUGAUCGCCAUGCCGCCAAG